UAAUGAAAAUCUCAAACAUUUAUUUAUUAUUUAUUUAUUUACUCUGAUGCUCCAUGUCAGUAGUACACUCAGAAAGAAGAUCGUGGGAAACUGGAGACGGUCAUUAGCUCCUUUUUCUAUAUGAGUUUCUUCCCGGUAAUUCAAAUUUCUUGAGAGGAUCAAAUGGUGGCCGUGUGGCAAAUUCUAAGAAUAGUUAAAAGCAAAUUUGAUUCCAAGAAAGGCAUUCAAUAAGAUUUAUCUAGUGAAUCGGCCAGAUACGAAUUACCGAAAUAUAAAGCACAAUAAAAUUCCUUCGACCAUUUUUUCAGAAAUUCAUAAGCUGUAAUGUUUCUUUACCACCGUACAUCCUAAUCAGUAUAACCAUCACCCUUCCAUGUACUACAGUGCUUUUACCAUGUCUCGCUGUUUUAUUGUGGGAGUGUCAUUGCCUACAAGUCUCCAUAAGUUUCAUAUAUGAUAAUCAAGACAAUCAUUAUAAAUCUGAAUCAAAAUUGCUAAUGAAUCACAAUUAUCAAGUUCACAAAUCUAUCAUUAAUGAGCAAAAUAUUUACGAGACGUUCUGCAAUUUUAGAGUAGUCAUAUCUCAUGAAAAUGAAAGAAAUAAUUGACUAAGCAGAAAGUUGUAGGAUACAAAAUAAGAAAAGAGCAGCUAAUAAAUUAAUUUUAAAAAAUUGGAUAAGCAAUAUACCUAUUCCCUUUAAUGCAAGAGAUUCUCAAAAUGCUACUCUCAACUUCUACCAUCCACAUCAAACCCAGCCCCAGUCCAACCAGGUGCUGCCG
rnacentral:lncRNA from 1 species